rnacentral:rRNA from 1 species
AGUGAACGCUGGCGGUAGGCCUAACACAUGCAAGUCGAACGGCAGCACAGUAAGAGCUUGCUCUUACGGGUGGCGAGUGGCGGACGGGUGAGGAAUACAUCGGAAUCUACUUUUUCGUGGGGGAUAACGUAGGGAAACUUACGCUAAUACCGCAUACGACCUACGGGUGAAAGCAGGUGAUCUUCGGACCUUGCGCGAUUGAAUGAGCCGAUGUCGGAUUAGCUAGUUGGCGGGGUAAAGGCCCACCAAGGCGACGAUCCGUAGCUGGUCUGAGAGGAUGAUCAGCCACACUGGAACUGAGACACGGUCCAGACUCCUACGGGAGGCAGCAGUGGGGAAUAUUGGACAAUGGGCGCAAGCCUGAUCCAGCCAUACCGCGUGGGUGAAGAAGGCCUUCGGGUUGUAAAGCCCUUUUGUUGGGAAAGAAAAGCAGCAGGUUAAUACCCCGCUGUUCUGACGGUACCCAAAGAAUAAGCAUCGGCUAACUUCGUG